rnacentral:tRNA from 2 species
UCUCUCCUUUUAUGCUUUUUUGUUAGCGGUUCCAAAUUCGUUAUCUUUAUCUUUCU